CGCUCUGCAGAGAGUAUAGGUAAUGGAUUUCAUUUUACUCUUGUUUAAUUCAUGGUUCAGAUUAUUUAUCAGCCUUUACUGUGAGCUUCCCAUGUACAGGGAAGACUUUUUCUCACCUAGAGGUUAGAGCAAAGUGUGAAUAUGCCUAUUUUCCUUGCUGCACCGAGGAAGAGGAGAGAGAAGACCACCAAGUCUCUUAUAUGGAAGAUAAGGCCAACGGCAGUUGAGCACAUGCUGAUAUAGAGGAAAAUGGUGAAGUGCAAUGAGUUCAGUGGUGUUAAUGCAAAUGUUGAGGAAAAGAAUGAAAUUCAAGAAUGACGUAAUGGAGAAAUUAUCAGAUCCUUUCUCCAGGGCACAACGACAGCUUUCCUGAGAGUCACUGUGUCAUUUAAAAUUAGUGAAUCAAAAGAGCCUGGUCUGAUGGACAAAAGCUGGAACAUCAAUGGAGUCAGUCACAGGUAUUCAGCUGCCUCGGCAAGAGGGCGCCAAUGAACAGGAACCAGACAGAGAUGAACGCUGCCCCUUCGAGAUGGAAACAGGAGGAGCUGCAUCUACCCCAUGCCCUGGACAGCCCAGGUGUGUGCCUAGGUUUUGCUAGUGAAUGCUUCCCCUCUGUCUGACCCUGCACCCAAACCUGGCUGUGUUACUGGUAGGGUGAUGAGGCACAGAUUCCUUGGCCAAGGUCUGCCAUAGGGGACAUUUUUGUCUUUCCUUCUUUGUGUCUGGGAGAGCGUAUGAACAGGUGUUUCCUUAGGAUUGAUGGACUCAAGCCACAGCAGGCAGCAUCCUGCUGGUGGGGGCUUUGUUGUCUAUUAAUAGCACAGCCAGUGGAAGUGCUAACUGAACAGCUUCUGCUGGGGGAGAGGCACAUGUGUGUGGUUUUAGCAUGUUUUUCUGCCAUCAGCAGGAAGAGAUGUGAAGCCACUCUGGUGGCUCCCUUUAACUGCUGAGACACUGGAGAUGCCUUCUUGUCAGUGCAGGAGCCAAAGUGGUGCUUUGCCAGGGACAGACCUUACCUAGCAUGCUCAGUGGUUUUUAAAACUGUACAGGAUGUAUUAUAUAUCAUCAUUGUAAAAGAGGUUAAUUUAAGGCCAUUGAUCAGGCCUUGAUUUUUUUUUUUUCCAGUGAGUUCAACAGUUUGUAAAUUGUUUCCAGGAGAAGGCAUUUGCCUUUAUGAGUUGCUUGUAUUUUUGGUACUGUAUAUCCCAGCUUGAUCAUUGUUAAUUAGUGUCAUGCUUCUGUGUUUUAUUGCAAGCAGAAUUACUUCACUUACUAAUGGCCUCUUUGCUGCUGCUAAAUUCCUAUUCUAGUAGUUGAGCAUGAAAGUUAAUUUUUCUUCCCUCACUACAUUUCUUCACUGCCUUUGUCUUAUCUGAAGUGGUUGACUGGCAAAAGUUUCUCUUUUGUAAACAAGUGGAUUAAAAGGAAAGGUGUUGGAUUAAAGGCGGCAGACUCCAGUCUGAUCCUAUGAAAGUCAAUGGCAAAAUCUCCCAUAAGUCACAGUGAAAACAAUACCAGAAAGAAAAGGCCUCUCAAGGUGUAAUAUUAGUGUCAUUUUAAAGAAAAGUGGAAUGUAGUAUUCUCUAUCGCUCUUCUUGUUUGCAGCUACUUUUUUUUUUUUUUUUUCCCAGUAUAGUAAUUCUGAUGAGUUAGCAAAACAAAGCUUUUGUACAGGGAAUUUGUGACAGCUUCAUUACAAAUAAAAGCACAGUGCAAGAGCUCAUGCUAUUGGUAUGAGUGAGUUUGAACAUGCUUGACAACAAAAAAAUCUGUUGAAUAGAGAGAACUAGCUAUCUGAAUAAAGGCCCAGUAUGUGUGAAGGCUCUCAAACACAAUAUGUAGUCUAAGUAAAGCCUGAGUGAAGGGGAAGGGCCAGGUAGCUCUCUUGUGCCCUCUCUAUCCCUGAACUGCUGCUUAUCCUCAGGAGGCUGGGAGAGUACUCAGUACGCCGAGGAAAAACUGCAUCUUGCUUAAUUUCAAGCUAGUUUCAAGUUGCAGUGAGAGAUAGCAAGAGGAGUACUACUUUACUCAUGUUUCUGCUCUUGAACGAAAAGCACUGAAAAAUGUUAUUCUGUAAUUGUUCAUCUAUUUAGUCUUCAGUCCUCCUCUUUCUGAUAGCUCAGGUUUUUAGUUAGGAAAAGUAUUUUCUUUAAUGACAGCUUCCUGGCAGCAUUUGGGUUCAGCGCUACCUUGCCCAUGCUAAGGCUUCUCUUGGAAGAGUGUGCUAGCAGCUACUGCCUGUUAUGGAGCACGUCACAGCUCACCGCACAGCUGAUUUGUGUUCAAGGGGAUAUUGUGUCGUCACAGGGGGUGUGAAGGUGCCACCUAAUCUUGCUCCCCUGGGUGGGAGGGAAUUGCCUUUCUGCAUAGGCCUAGUGAGAGCUAUCAGACUGACACUCCACUAGUUAAACACGGUCUGACUGUCCCUCUUUGCUUUAUUUUAGCUUUAUGAUGCUAUUGAUCUUACAUUUUUUAAAAUAUAUAUAUUAUUUUGGGGGGUAUUUGGAAUACUAACUUAUGUAUUAUUGUUCCCUGAAGUUUUUGAAAGCAUCAUUUUCAUAGAUACACAAUAGGAAAUGGUAAACCAAAAAAAAAGAAAAAAAAAAUCCUAUUCAUACUUUUAGCUCAUGAGGUAACAGCACAUCCAUUGAAAUUUAAAUCAAAAUGGGGACUGUGUCACACACUAUAGCUCUCUGGAAAGCUACAGUGGGAGUCUAGCAGUCCAAUUCAUUCCUUUGUAGAAUGUACUAAGGCUAAUGGUCUUGCUGGGAGUAAAAUGUAUUUUUUGCAGAAUGGUUCCAAGAACAGACUUUGCUUUUUACCAUAAAACAUAAAAGAAAACAAAUGCUUACUGUGUCUUUAGUAUGCUAAAUAUGAAAUUCUCUACACAAUGGAAUGUUAGCAGUAGCCGUAAUCAUGUUUUCAUUUCAUCACCUAGUGAACAUAAUUUUAAGAGAGGACUGCUGUAAUUAUAUUUCAGAUAAAAAGAAGCAGAAUUUCUGGAUAAUAUUAUAGUUGGUCUGAUUGUUUUGUUGAUAGGGAAAAAUAAAGACAGAGUACACAUGAAUACUUAUUUAAUGAACAACAUAUUUAUUAAGCAGUGCAGACUGUACAUAAUGCAUUUGACUUCGGAUGCAAUGCAGUAAGCUUACUUUCUUCAAGCACAUUUCUUAAUAUUUUACUACAACUAUUACAUUCCUUCUUACCUGACCAGGUAUUCAAUUAUUUUUGUAAUAUGUCUAUAGC